rnacentral:misc_RNA from 1 species
GACGAACCGUGCGAACGUUGUUCGGAAUCACUGGGCUUAAAGGGCGCGUAGGCGGCUGACCAAGUCCGGGGUGAAAUCUUUCGGCUCAACCGGAAAAGGGCCUUGGAUACUGGUCGGCUUGAGGGAGGUAGGGGCAUGUGGAACUUCCGGUGGAGCGGUGAAAUGCGUUGAUAUCGGAAGGAACGCCGGUGGCGAAAGCGACGUGCUGGACCUCUUCUGACGCUGAGGCGCGAAAGCUAGGGGAGCGAACGGG